rnacentral:rRNA from 1 species
AUUGAACGCUGGCGGCAGGCUUAACACAUGCAAGUCGAACGAGUGGCGGACGGGUGAGUAAUGCUUGGGAAUCUGGCUUAGGGAGGGGGAUAACGAAGGGAAACUGUCGCUACUACCGCGAACCAUAGGAUGAGCCCAAGUGGGAUUAGGUAGUUGGUGGGGUAAUGGCAUACCAAGCCGACGAUCUCUAGCUGGUCUGAGAGGAUGACCAGCCACACCGGGACUGAGACACGGUCCGGACUCCUACGGGAGGCAGCAGUGGGGAAUAUUGGGCAAUGGGGGCAACCUGACGCAGCCAUGCCGCGUGAAUGAAGAAGGCCUUCGGGUUGUAAAGUUCUUUCGGUGACGAGGCGUUACCCACAGAAGAAGCACCGGCUAACUCCGUGCCAGCAGCCGCGGUAAUUC